rnacentral:rRNA from 1 species
CGGAGGAUCCAAGCGUUAUCCGGAAUCAUUGGGUUUAAAGGGUCCGUAGGCGGUUUAGUAAGUCAGUGGUGAAAGCCCAUCGCUCAACGGUGAACGGCCAUUGAUACUGCUAGACUUGAAUUAUUAGGAAGUAACUAGAAUAUGUAGUGUAGCGGUGAAAUGCUUAGAGAUUACAUGGAAUACCAAUUGCGAAGGCAGGUUACUACUAAUUGAUUGACGCUGAUGGACGAAAGCGUGGGUAGCGAACAGGAUUAGAUACCCUGGUAGUCCACGCCGUAAACGAUGGAUACUAGCUGUUGGGAGCGAUCUCAGUGGCUAAGCGAAAGUGAUAAGUAUCCCACCUGGGGAGUACGUUCGCAAGAAUG